AAUCCUAAACUCCACUAGGAUGCAAAAGAAAAUAUUCUCUAUGCUUUCUGUCUGGUUUUAUGGCAGCCCAGAUUGAAUUGGGGAAUACAACA
rnacentral:snoRNA from 1 species